UACGGAGGGGGCUAGCGUUGUUCGGAAUUACUGGGCGUAAAGGGUGCGUAGGUGGUUCUUUAAGUCUGCUGUGAAAGCCCCGGGCUCAACCUGGGAAUGGCAGUGGAUACUGGAGAGCUAGAGUGCGGUAGAGGGUAGUGGAAUUCCCGGUGUAGCAGUGAAAUGCGUAGAGAUCGGGAGGAACACCAGUGGCGAAGGCGGCUACCUGGACCAGCACUGACACUGAAGCACGAAAGCGUGGGGAGCAAACAGG
rnacentral:rRNA from 1 species